GACGAACGCUGGCGGCGUGCUUAACACAUGCAAGUCGAACGGAAAGGCCUUUUCGGAGGUACUCGAGUGGCGAACGGGUGAGUAACACGUGGGUGAUCUGCCCUGCACUCUGGGAUAAGCCUGGGAAAAUGGGUCUAAUUCCGGCUAGGACCGCACUUUAGUGAGUGUGGUGGCAAGUUUUUUCGGGGUAGGAUGAGACCGCGGGCUAUCAGCUUGUUGGGGGGGUGAUGGCCUACCAAGGCGGCGACGGGUAGACGGACUGAGAGGUUGGUCGGCGACAUUGGGACUGAGGGACGGCCCAGGUGGGUACGGGAGGCAGCAGGGGGGAAGCUUGCACAAGGGGCGCAAGCCGGGUGCAGCAGGGCCUCGGGGUGGAUGACGGCCUUCGGGUUGAAGACUCCUUGCGCCAGGAACGAAGCCUUUUGUGACGGUACCUGGAGAAGAAGCACCGGCUAACUACGUG
rnacentral:rRNA from 1 species